rnacentral:rRNA from 1 species
ACACCGGCAGCUCAAGUGGUAGCCGCUUUUAUUGGGCCUAAAGCGUCCGUAGCCGGUCUGAUAAGUCUCUGGUGAAAUCCCACAGCUUAACUGUGGGAAUUGCUGGAGAUACUAUCAUGACUCGAGGUCGGGAGAGGCUGGAGGUACUCCCAGGGUAGGGGUGAAAUCCUGUAAUCCUGGGAGGACCACCUGUGGCGAAGGCGUCCAGCUGGAACGAACCUGACGGUGAGGGACGAAAGCCAGGGGCGCGAACCGGAUUAGAUACCCGGGUAGUCCUGGCCGUAAACGAUGUGGACUUGGUGUUGGGAUGGCUUCGAGUUGCCCCAGUGCCGAAGGGAAGCUGUUAAGUCCACCGCCUGGGAAGUACGGCCGCAAGGCUGAAACUUAAAUGAAUCGGCGGGG